UGGGUAACCUGCCUCAAAGAGGGGAAUAGCCUCCCCGAAAAGGGAGAUUAAUACCGCAUAAUAUGUUUUAGUCGCAUGACUUAAACAUCAAAGGGUUUUCUUUUAGAAAUUCCACUUUGAGAUGGACCCGCGGCGCAUUAGCUAGUUGGUGAGGUAACGGCUCACCAAGGCAACGAUGCGUGGCCGACCUGAGAGGGUGAUCGGCCANAUUGGAACUGAGACACGGUCCAGACCUCCGUACGGGAGCAG
rnacentral:rRNA from 1 species